rnacentral:rRNA from 1 species
UACAGAGGUCUCAAGCGUUGUUUCGGAUUCAUUGGGCGUAAAGGGUGCGUAGGCGGCGCGGUAAGUCGGGUGUGAAAUCUUGGAGCUUAACUCCGAAACUGCAUUCGAUACUGCCGUGCUUGAGGACUGGAGAGGAGACUGGAAUUUACGGUGUAGCGGUGAAAUGCGUAGAUAUCGUAAGGAAGACCAGUGGCGAAGGCGGGUCUCUGGACAGUUCCUGACGCUGAGGCA